CAAUACUAAUGACAGAGAAAGCCUGGUGGAAUCACCUACCAGGAAGGCAGUGGUCCAGCUUUGGGUGUGUCUGCCUGAACUUCUGUGCACAAGAAACUUUCAUUUCAAUGCUGAAAUGUGGGAUGAGAAAACAGAUGAGCUGAUGAGUAACUUGAUUGGUCUACACCAGCACUUUUCCACCAGGGGCAAUUCCCCUCUCCUGCCAUUCAGCAAUGUCUGGAAACAUCUUUAAUUCAUAUGACCUGUGAUGAUAGGUAAUUAUAAAGCCAAAGGAUGCUGGUAAGUACCCUACAAAAUAUUGAAUGGCCUGGAAAUAAGGACCAAUUCAUCCAGAAUAUCACUAGUGCUGCUAUUAAGAAGCCUUGAUUGACAUCGUUCAGCAUAUAGCGUUCUUCUGGAAGCUGUUAUUGAAUCAUUGGUGAACACAUGACUUACUCUGGCCCAAUCAGACUAAAGGAGAAGGUUUUGGGGAGAUGCUACAUUCACUCAUUUCUCUCCUGCUGGGUGUGAGCAAGGAGCAGCAGCCUGAUAUCCAGGGGCAGCCGUCUUUAUAUUGAGAAUAUCCAACCUUCCCACAAAGGACAGCAGAAUGGAAGGGCUGGAAUAACCCCUGUGCUUAAUGAGGUUACUGAGCAGCAUUGAACCCUAUCUCUCCUGGAACCCAAACCAUUUCUAGACUUUUAGUUAUCUGAAGCAAUGCAUUCAUAUUGUUUAAGCCCGAGUGAGUGAGUGUUAUCUGUUUCAGGCAGCUAAGUGUCUACCCAGCACAGUUGGGGAAUUAUAGGCAACAUCCAGGAAAAUUCAGCAAAGACUCUUUCACGUUGUCAGAUCCCUCAUCAGAAAUUCAUGCUUCUCCCUUCUGGCUGAACUUUGUCUUCAGAGGAGAUUUGGAGACACCAUCUUUAGCUUGUUCUCCUUCCGAAGGAACAUACACUAAGUAGGGACUUCGUGGGCUCCGUCGACAAGCAGUUCGAGUCCAAUGCCAUGGGCCAGGGAAGAAGGAGAAGGACAAAGAGGGAAACUGCCAUCUAGGUGGAAACAAAGAAUACUAUAUACAUGGAGAAAUCCGAGGAAGAUGAGCUGUGGGAC